UACUAGAGAAUAUGUUACAGGCCUGUGUACUAGAUUUUGAGGGAUCUAGGAAUAAGUGUCUCCCUUUGAUUGUGUUUUCAUAUAAUAAUAGCUAUUAGGUGACCACCUGAGUGGCUCCGUAUGAAAUGUUAUAUGGGAGGAAGUGCAGAUCACCUAUCCAUUGGGAUGAGAUGGGUGAGAAAAAGUACUUAGGUCAUGAGGUUGUUCAGAGGACCAAUGAGGCGAUUGAAAAGACUAGAGCUCGAAUUCUGGCCUCCCAGAGUCGACAGAACAAUUAUUUAGACUUGAGAUGCAAGAGUGUAGAGUUUCAAGUCGGUGACCAUGUGUUCCUCAAAGUUUCUCCUUUGAGAGGAGUAAAGUGAUUUGGAGUGAAAGGCAAAUUAAGUCCUAGAUUUGUCGAUUCUUUUGAGAUUCUGGAGCGGGUUGGGGAGGUAUCUUAUAAAUUGGCAAUGCCUCCAGCCUUAUCAAGGGUUCACAACAUAUUUCAUAUGUCCAUGAUUCGGAAGUACGUAUCAGGUUCUACGCAUGUGUUGAGUUAUGAAAACCUAGAGUUGGAUUAAGAUUUGUCAUAUGAGGAGAGGCUGGUUUAAAUUCUAGACCGAAAAGAUAAAGUCUUGAGAAAAAAGAUCAUUGCCUUAGUAAAAGUGUAGUGGAGGAACAACAAGGUGGAAGAGGUAACUUGGGAGCUUGAGACUUAUAUGCAGGAUUGAUAUCUUGAGUUAUUCAGGUAAAUUUCGAGGACAAAAUUUCUGUAAGGAGGGGAUAGUUGUAACGUCCCAAAUUUGCUAAUAAGGCUUAGUGCCUUGAUUAGCGUGCCAGGAGGGAAAUAAUUGAUUUAAUUAUGUUAUUAUGUGGAUUAAAUGAUUAUGUGAUUAGAAAUGCAUGUUUAGGUGAAUUAAAUAUGCAUGUAGGCCCAUUUUGGUUAAUAGGGGCAUAAUUGUAAUUUAGGCCCGUUGAAGGCAUAAAUGUAAAUUUUAUGUGUUGUGCUUGAGACCACAAUAUUGUGAAGAUUUACUUGUGAUGUGUGAUCCGACACAGUCCUAGGGAGCGAAAUAGUGAAAUAGUCACAACGUGGUCGAAUAACCAGCUCGGGGUGAGCCUAGGGGUAUUUUGGGAAUGUAGCAUGUGUUUCGUGUUACUGGGUAAUGGGUAGUGAUUUAGCAAUUAUUUGGGUAUGUCAGGAUUAAAUUGGGGGUUUAUAGGACUAUUUGAGGAAUUAGAGGGAAUGUGGCAAAAGACAAUUUUUUCCUUGGUGGUGUUAGAAGGGUUAAGUCGAUUAGGGGCAUUUUGGACAUUAUGCAGCUGAGGAUAGACUUAAGCUAAUCAGAAUUCUAGAACUAGGGAGAAACAAAAACACACCCUCACCUCAUCUCUCUCUCUCCCUUUCUCUCUCUCUCUCGACACUCUCAUUCUCUCUUAAGGACAAAGGAAAUUUUUGUUGAAUUAAAGGGAGAAGGCUUAGAAUUCAAAAAGGAAUGAAGCUAGAAGUAAUUGGGUUUAGCUCAGGAUAGAAUCACACAAUUUAGGUAAGGAUUUCUGCUGACUUUACUGAGUUUUCCGUUAUGGUUUAGAGGUUUCAUGGGGUUGAACUUAGGAUAUGAUUUUUGGGAUUUCAUGAGUUUCUUGGGUAAGUUUUGGGGUAUCUAUGUUAGUUGUGAUGCUUUGAUAUGAGUUGUAAACUGAAUUCUUCCUUAAAGCUUUGAUUUGGGUGGAUUCUAAAAAGUUCAGCUCGUAAAAAUGCAUGAGGAUUUCUGGGUUUUAGGCUCGAGCCGCGGCCCUGUUCUUCUUGCGUCGCGACUCGUGUGUGCGAAGAGGCGUGGGAAGCCUCUGAUUUUGCCGCGGCGCAGGCAGGGCAUGUCGGUGCCCUUUUCCCCAGAUGAGAGAGCCAAAGCUCUCCGACUUGCAGCGGGUUGCGAUCCUAGAGGGUGGGUCGCGACUCAAACUAGGGAAAAUGACCAAAAUAGUGUUUUAAGCUUGGGAACCCAAAUCUUAGGGCUCGGGAAGGAUUCUACUACCCAUUUUAGUAUAAUUUGAGGCCCCGAAGGCUAGUAUUUUAAUCAGAAGUUUUUAAUUGGUUAGGGCUUGUUGGAUGUCCAUUUUUUGAUGCAUUGUGACUAGGUUUUGCGUCAAGGCUCGAGGUUAGGGGAUCAUGCUCGGGAUUGCAUUAAUCAAUUAGCUCGGGACGCAGGCCAGGAACGGUGAAGGACGGGAACGACAAAGGCUGGGAACGAUGAAGGCUGGGGACGGCAAGGGUUGAGAUCGACAUUAAGCAUGUUGAAUGCAGGACGCUAGGGCGAGACCCUCGAAGGGUGUUGUAUUCACCUACUCGGUGAAGACUGUGACCCAGUGCUUGGUAAGGGCAAAGGAAAGGUCGACCAACCAUGAGUUGGAGAGCAUGGAACGACGUGUACAUGUUCGGCCUACCUGACUGCCACGGCCAGGGUUGUUUGAAGAAUUUACUGUAAAUGGUUGAUUUUGUCGCUUAGGUCGACUAUAUUGAAACUUUUGAAUUGUAAUAUAUUUUUGAAACAAUAUUUUGGGAUCCCAAUGUAUAACUUUUAUGACUUUAAUGAAUUUUUGAAUCUUUUAUAAUUAAUGUUCGUCAAAUGAGUCUUUAUUUUGAUUUAUUCACACUUUUUAACCUAAAACCUCAAUUAGCGAGUUAAUGACACAUUUAUAAAUCACAUGGUAACGACUUUAAGGUAGUAGGGCGUUACAAUAGAGAAUUGAGGUAAAAUUACCCAUAAAGGCAUGAUGAUUGGGUCACUUAAUAGGUCAUUAAGAGUAAGUUAGUAAUUGUGGUCAUUAUAGUUUUCUAGGGCUUAAUAGGUCUUAAGGGAGGGAGG